rnacentral:other from 1 species
AUUUCCCUGUGCUGUUGGUGAUUUAUGGCGUUGUUGGGCCAACUCUCUUGUUAAGGGCUCUCCCGCUGAUGCGUCAGGAAAACCUUCGCGGGAUUUUCCCAGUGUAUUAUGGACUGCCCACCUAUGCAAAUAGGUUCUAUAAAUUCCAUAAACACGGCAGCAUGGGGCUUUU